rnacentral:rRNA from 1 species
UGGGGAAUAUUGGACAAUGGGCGCAAGCCUGAUCCAGCAAUGCCGCGUGAGUGAAGAAGGCCUUAGGGUUGUAAAGCUCUUUCACCCGUGAAGAUGAUGACGGUAACGGGAGAAGAAGCCCCGGCUAACUCCGUGCCAGCAGCCGCGGUAAUACGGAGGGGGCUAGCGUUGUUCGGAAUUACUGGGCGUAAAGCGCGCGUAGGCGGCGUGUCUAGUCAGGGGUGAAAGGCCUGGGCUUAACCUGGGAACGGCCUUUGAUACUGGCAUGCUUGAGUUCGGGAGAGGGCAGUGGAAUUCCCAGUGUAGAGGUGAAAUUCGUAGAUAUUGGGAAGAACACCGGUGGCGAAGGCGGCUGCCUGGCCCGCAACUGACGCUGAGGUGCGAAAGCGUGGGGAGCAAACAGGAUUAGAUACCCCUGUAGUCC